GCCGAGGUAGCUCAGCCUGGGAGAGCGCUCGGCUGAAGACCGAGUUGUCGCAUGUUCAAACCCUGCCCUCGGCACCA
rnacentral:tRNA from 5 species